UUUGGAGUAAACCUCGUUCCUAUAAAGUCUGGAGGCAUAAAACAGCUGAUGUUUUAGAAUACAUGGAGCUUACAGGCUCAUCUGCUGCCGUAGGUCUUUCCCCACAUGACCGUCCCACACCAGUGUCUGCAGCACAGCGCCCCAUGUGAAUGGGCACCCUUGAAAUUGCAGCAAAGUGCUUUCCUGUGGACAGUGCAAUUGUCUCACAAGAAGUGUGAAAGGCGGAAGCUGCCUAAAGAGAAGUGAAGACCUCUCAGCCUCAGGAGUUUUUAUGAGUCAGAUGCUGCUCAGCUGUUGCAUUGCAGAUGUCUUAGCUAAAAACAAGCGUUCAUUGAAAAUCAAAGACUCUUCGUGAGUAUAGGCGGCAGGAGCCUCCCACAAAACGUGGUUUUUCUCCUUCAAAGGGCUCUCCUUAGAUUUGCCUACAAUAGAUUACUUAAAGCUUGUCUGCAUUGCGAAGCUGAGUCAGGGCCAACAUGGUGUGGAUCUGAAAUGGUCCAGCUGUUCAGCACAAAUUUGCGUCUGGUUGUUCUCACUCUGUGAAUGUGAGUGCCUUCCUCUGAAGGGACCUAGUGGAGAAGUCGGCUUUGGAGGGCUGUUUUGUGGAGUCAGGGGUACAGUAGAGGCUUUUUCUCUCUAUUGACUACUCAUGUGUGUACUCGUUCUCUGUGUUGAAGGCAAAACAGGUGAUCCCACACUUAGUGGAAGGUGACAGAGUUUGUUGUAAAUGCAUGCGAUGUUUUACAGUCAUCAGGAAGCAAAGCUCUGUGUGUUACAGUGCUUGUGGUCUAGUCUUUGGACACCCGCUAGUGGGUCUGACACCAUCCUUGUAGUACAGAGAAGUCAGCCCUGGUGUGGGGAGGAGUCUGACCAAAAAGCAGAAGAGCUUGCAUCUGCCAGGAACUGCUUGCCAAAUGCGGUGUGUGUACAUCUCGCCUGUCCCUUCACAAGCAGGAGGGGAUCAACCAGCUGCCCUGGCAUGAAAAUACCUGACAAACCCCCACCUCCUCUGCCUUUUGGAUCUUUGUGUCUGGUUGCGUUCUUACAGCCUUUGACCUACCCGUCAUGAUCCCAAAUCUAAAAGUCAUCUUCCUGUUUCUUUGGUUGCUUCGUUGUGGAGGAGGAGAUGUCGAUGUACAGCAGAAACCUCCAAUCCAGGUUGCCUUGCUCAAGGAAGGAAUAUCCAUCCCCUGUGAAGUCAUCUUCCCUUACAUGCCUAAAUACACCAAAUUUUCAAUUGACUAUUACUGGAUUAAUUCACUGCAUCAGAAGACAUCUAUCUAUAGUAAGGAGGAAAAUGUAGCCAUUCCUUCUGGGAAAGAGAAUAAGACUGCUGCCUUACAUUACAACUACAGAAUCAUGACACUUGAAAACACCUCUUCUACUGGCACAUACUACUGCAAGGUCAAAUGGAAUGAUAUCCAAAAAGUGGGAAAGGGAGUGUUUGUCCAUAUUAGAGAUACAGGAUACAUAAAUACCUCUUAUGGGUGGGAAAUCCUCGUUACCCUUACUGUUCUUCUUGCUGUACUGAGCAUCACCGCAACAGCUCUGCUUCUGUGGAAAAGAAAGGUGUUGUGCCCUAGAAGGAACCAGCCAAAUAUCCUGAGACACAAGGUGGAAACACAGCUCCCUUCAGCCAGCCCACCACCACUACCCCCUCCUGUCUAUGACAGCCUGGAUGUGCAGCAAGUUGAUGUCUAUUCUAGCCUCGAGAACAACACAAACAACCCAUCACACAGAAAGAAUCCUCCAGGGAAGACACCUAAGAAGCAAGAAACUCUAGAAGAAUCCUCUGAUACAUUGUAUGAGAAUAUCUAACAGGGAAGAUACCAGACAUCUUUCUCUAUGGCAGAGCUACUCUCUUACAUCCCUGAUGAGAUGCAGAUACACGGAGAGAUCCACACUGACUUCAGAGCACAACCACGAGGGAAUUGUGAACCCCUUGCCCCUUCUAAACUGCCCUUCAUUAACAAGAGAAUGUAUCUGUUGAAAUCCCUCGGGGCUCAGUCUGCAUUGAUGCAGCAAAGCUAUUUUGCUGCAAAGCUGUUUGAUGCAAAAGAAAAGCUGCUUUUGUCAAGCACUUAUCUUGGGAAUGGGCAAUCUGUGAAGGUUUCUCUCACCUGCCCCGGCUGAAAUACUUAACUGUUGAUCCUCUCUGCAAGUGGCAGGACAAUCCAGAGACUUCCCUAUUUGCUGGCUUGAUGUUCCGAUCCUGACCUGCAGCCGCUCAUCUGAUCCUAUGCUUGCGACUUUGCCGAAAUGGCCAUCAGGACUUCAUGCAUAGUUUAAUCAGAUCCAAGCAUCCACCUGCGCAUUUCCCUUUCUCAGGAGCCCCACAGCAAACACGCUUUCUCAUAAUCUGCUAAUCCCAUCAAGUAGUCACAGAUGCCUGCUGCGACCUUACUGGGGCGACUCAAAUCAGUGCCUCUAAGAAAAUGCUUCCCCUUCAGCAAUAUCAGCAGUACACGGUGAGGACCGGAUGCAUUGAUGGAGAUAAAGGUGGAGAAAAGGAACACAGAGAAAAUAUCCCUUCCUGACAACGUCUAUGUCUCAGUGCCCAUUCCAGAGCAAGAAAGAGGAACAAGGAGGUGGGAACGUGAGGAAACUCUCUUGCUGGGGCUGCUUAAGCCGGGCGGGUCUGGGGCCAGGCUCCAGCCUGCCGAAGUCCGAGGGGAGCUCGCCGGUUUCCUUUUCUUCUUGGCAGUGGCCAUUGUCAUCGCUUGGGAUUUUGAGCCUCUGUGGGAGCAGGCAUGGUACCUCUGCCCCACCAAAACCAAUCGGUUUGCCUUUGUUUCAGCUGGCUGGGGUAGAGUACAAAGCUCCUUUACACGCCCCCACCGUACAUUACUGGCCAGGGAGAUCAGUUCUGAAACUUAGAACGACCGGAGGAAGGAGGCCUUAGAAGUGAAUUUGCUAUCCAAGUUCUUUCUCCCCUGUCAGCUGGAACUUGCCUACCAUUUGUGUUGAUGCAUCUUCUGCUUCUGAUAGGGAAGAUGUUAUAGUAAAUAGCUGUAUAACAUGAUCAAACCAGCACAUCAAAAAGCUGAGGCUGUUUUAUCUCAUAUUAAAAACAACAACGAAAUAACCAAACAAAGCCAACCCAAAAUAAGAAUAUGCAGCAUAACUUGAGAGGAAUUGUAGAAACCUCUUUAAAGAAGAAGAUCAAAUUAAAAUUGAGCUCCAGGGUCAUAGGACCCUCUCUAGCUGAAGAUAAUGUUGCUAUGUAUCAGAGAUAGAGGCUGUGGAAAAUGUCUCCGGGGCCUCCAACCUUCCUAUGCCAUGUUUAAAGAGAUAAUCCGCUUAUUGCUUUGCUCUUUUUAUUAGAAACCAUUUCAAACAUGCAAUUUGGACUUUCUUUAACCACAGAAAAAUGUUUUUUCUCUUCCCAGCACUGAGAAAUUCAUUUCAGAAAAGGCGAUGAAUGGACAGCACGUCUUAUUAGAUCCAUUUAUAAUUUCUUAAGUGAUCAUAACAAUUAUAAAUAUUUUUGAAGUAAAAAGUUUUACAUUUUACUAAUACGACCAGGAAAUAUUUGUGUUCACAGAAGAAUUUACAGAGGAUUGUACAGCCUUCUCAGGGGUGUCUCUACUGCAAAUCAUCUCUAAAUACCCAGCUAGGGCUGGUUCUUUAUCAAGGGAAGCACUUGACUGCGCAGCACCCAUGAAAAAUGGUUGCUAGGCUCUGGUUUGCACUGCUGUCCUACCCAGAGUGCCCUGCAGGAAACUGAUGAAGGCUCAGAUAUUGCUCUUUCUGUGGUGGUCAAGAUGUGCAACACACAGUGAAUUAUCAUUGAGAGUUUAUGAAGAAAAAAGGAGCAGCUCAACAGAGCACCAGUGAUCUCCAAGAGAAGAAAGUGAACCUUCGGUGUCUUCUUUUCCUUGAUUCUUGGACAAGCCAGGCUCCACUUAUUGUGAGGGAUGAAAUGUUUUUCUUUCUUAAUAAUGAAGUAGAAAUGCAGAUUACAAUUAGUAACUAGUAUGUCACUAGGUUCUUCACUAUUAAUAACUAGGCCUGUAAACUGCUGGAAUGUGUUGUGAGCAGUGAAUCUUCAAUGUUCACAGCAUCUGUGCAUCAGAGAGCUGCCACUGUGCAGCUGCCUGGGGACAAAGUGUGAUGGUGCCCUGACAGUACCGGACAGGUUCCUGUGGGAAGUGACACAGAGAAGCUGCUUCUCAGGGAGGGACUGUUUCAGCAGGAGGGGAGGGCUCCCGUUCCAGGAGGAAAUCUUUCUCACUAGCUGAUGAACCUCUCCUAGAGCUCCUCUUUUCCUUCAGCUUUCUGAAAUAUGUGGGUUGUGUUGUAUCACUCUGGGCCACAUGAAGAUUUGGAUAUACAGCUGGUAGGGCCAGGCAGGUCAGCCACCCUGCUUUAAAGAGUUAGAACGUAAUUAUCCAAAUUGGAACAGGGUGAACAUGAAAAAGCUAACAUAUGGGCUUCUUCAAAACGUUAUGUCUUUUAAUAACCUGUCAGGGCCUCUGGUUUCUAUCCCAUCUGAAAGAUUCAUCUGCCUACAAUUUUGUGCAAUGAUAUCUGAGCACUUCCAGGGGUAAUAAUUGUAUCCAAAAUACCUGUGACACAGUGAGCUUCCCUCCCUUGUGAGAGAAUUAGUGCUGUAAUGCCCGUAAUGGUGCUUUUGGCACUGACACGUACUAUUAAAAUCAAAGGUUUCAGAAGUUCUUACAAGGCUCAGUAUGUCAUUUCAGGUUCAUGCAUGGAAAAAAUGGAGAGUCGGGAGCUUAAAUGACUUUUCCAAGACUACAGAGCAUCAGAGGCGAAGUUUGGAAAAGAAUUCAGGUUUCUGUGUUCUUAAUUCUAUCAGGUUGUCCAGGAAGAAACCAGUAGCUGGGUAAGUAAGACCUGCUGAGCUACUUAUAGUUUAGGGAAAAGUAAAGUUUCUUCUUGAGUCACCAGCACUGGGUUCUGCUGCACUAUGCUUUUCACUUUUGAUUUCUCAUGCAGGUAUCAAUAAGACCUGCAUCUGCCUAGCUGAGGUUGUAAAGCUGCAGAAGAAGUUACUCCUCUCUUUUACAGAGGCAUCCAUCAUUUUUGCAAUAAGGAAAGCUUAUCAGAUCCAAAUUACCAUAAAAAGUCCAAAUAUGUAUGCUGUAAUUCUCCAAAUAAAUGUUUACAGAGGGAAUGUGCUGAGUUGUUGUUCAUCCAACCCAUGAAGUCUUUCUGAUUGCUGAAGUUCCUGAGCUUAUGGAGAAGAAACCAAAUGACUGCAGCUGAAUUGCAAAGGCUCUCUCCACUCCCAAGGAAGGAGGCAGGGAAGUCCCUACCAUCACAAUUAGAUGCUGGAGAAGGAGGUGUGAGGUGAGGUGAUAAUGCUGAUAGUAAUGCGAAUAGAAAUGCUUGCCAUUCUUUUUAAUGUUUAAAGGAAACUACAGUUUUGAAGUGAUCUAAUUCCUGCUCAGUUGGGUUUUUUAUUCAGGCAGUGAAAUGCAAUGCUGUGCUGGCACAUGGGGGAGAGAAAGCAAAACUUCAUCUUGGCUCUCUUGGGAUUUCUGUACACUUUCAGACUCAUUCAGGUAAAGGCAGGGUGUGAAUCUGAAGUAUGCAGCUCUUCCAGCAUGGCCCUCUGUGCAGAUUGGCCCUUUGCUAAGAAAGGUGCAGAAUGCAGGUGGGGGUUCUGAAGAACCACUUUAAUAGAAGGAAUUGUAACUGUUCUCCCCAAAAGGUUUAAGAUCUUGCUGUCCAUAAAAAUCAGGUUAGCUAUUUUGGGUUCUUGCAGAGCUAAAAUGAAUGCAGCAUCUCUCAUUUCCAGUCAUGAUAAGUCAUUAGAUAUCAAUUCUUAAUUGCUUGAUUAAUCUUGAAUUUUCAGAGCUGACAGUGCCUUUCCAAGCACUUAGACAAGAACUACAUUUGAAAGAAAGGAGAAAAUGCUUCUUUUUUCUUUACUUUUUUUCCUUUUCUUUAAGCAUGGUCUGCAAGGUAAGAGCAUGAAAUUACAGAGAUUUGUAACAUGUUGUCCUGAGAAAGAUGGACCAUUAAGCAGAGUGCAAAUGAAGCAGACACAGGUUUGUGAUAAGCUGGGGGGGGGUGAUGGAUUAAUUUUAGCAUAUGCUUCAGUAAUUCCUUACAAGAUUAUAUCAAAUAUUAGUAUACUUACAUUUGCUGUAUAUUUGUGUGUGUUAGGCCAUGUUUUUCAUGUACAUAAAUAAGCAGAAAGGUUUCCUUCAUGAAGCUCAUGACAUUUCUAUGUAGAGGAAGACAAUUUAAGGUCAACACUUAUGGGGGACUAUACCUCUGUGUGCUUUGUUAUGGGUGAACUGAUAAUGAUCACUGCACAUGCCUCCCUAAAGGGUGGUGUUUAAAAAAUACAGACCAAAUUUAAAAGAAAAGCCAUUCAGACUCUCUACGGAACAUUUAUAAAAUUGUUUGGGGUUUUUUUUCCCCUGUUUUUUCUUCCCCCCAGCCAUGAGUGUGUGGCACAUCUGGGCUUAGAAGUGACAUGGUGUAUCAGCCCUUGCUUUGAAGCAACAUAUUAAACUGUCAGGUCUCCUUUUCUGUAUAACAGGCAGGCUAGAAAAUAUGAUGGCACAAUGUGAUGUAAAGGUAUUAUGGGUGCAAGCUUUCCUAUGUUACAUCUUUUACAUCCUGUCUUGGUUUCAUCCCUCUAACUAUGGAAUAUGAAAGAUUUUUUUUCAUUCUAAUUAACAACUCUAUCUGCCACAGACCUUGGAAGAGGUUAGUGCUGCCCAAGACAUCUACUCCAAGGUCUGUGUAAUCCAAAUGAAUGUUUAUUAAAACAUCACUGCUGUUUUCUUGCAGAUGGUGAGCCCGUGACAUCUCAAGGAAGUCAUAGUGAUAAAAGGGAAAAAUUCUGACAAUAGACCUUCCCCCCCACAGCCCUUCUCAAUACAAGACUCCAUCUAUGGUUACCAACAUGGUUAUUUUGGUCUACAAGUGCCUCCAGCAAUGGUGUGGAGAAGGGAGAUUUCCACGUACUGGGCUGGGACCUAUUGCUCUGCAGAUGUCCCAGUCUGUGAGCAGUUAAAUGGUCCCAAAGGCAUCUUGUCCUCAUGCAAUCCUUUCCUGCAGUCAGGGUUUCUUUAGUGGUUUCUUGUGUGCUUGUUUCCAUAGUCUUGUGUGAUGUGAAUCAGGUGGUGGGAGCUCCUGUGGGAUGCUGUCUUGCAGUCUUGUAGAUUAAUGUUUCCUUUACUUAAUUUACUUUAUAUUUAUCCCAUUUAUACUCGCUCAGACAACCCUAAACAUUCCUUCUUGCUCCCUGGUGCUUCUGCCCCUGAAGUUCUCACCUGCAAUUCCCAUGAUGCUCUUCACAGUUGUUAUUUGGCCAACCUACACAUGCUGUAAUCCCUUCCAUCUUUUUGUGUUCCUCUUGUUUUAUUUCCCUCCAAGUUGUUGACAUGUAGCUUGCACCGCGUUGUCCAGAGCUAAACAUGUCUUCGAGCUGCGGUCUCACCACUAUAUUAAAAAAUGGGACUAUUGCCUGUAUCUCUGAGAAGAGGUCUCUGCCUUUACAACCCCAAAUUAAAUUAAGUGCAUGAUUUUUGCUGCCAUAUCACAUUGCAAAAACAUAUUAAAUCUGCUGUCUACUGUCUCCCCGAGGUCUUCUGGCAUUUCUGCUUUCAGUGCUUGAGCACAGAUGAUUCCUCUCUUCACCUCAAUUUCUGUCUUUCAGCAGCUCAUGUGUUGUACCUACUGCCUUUGUAGACACGUGGGAUCGUUCAGGGUUCCUCUUUGAGGAACAGCAGUGUGAUUCCUUACACAUAAGUAAAUUCCCUCUCUUUUUUUUAGCAUGAAAUAAUCUGUCUCCACCAUUUCCCUUCCAGGCUGUCCUAUGGUAAUCUCUGCCUCAGUGCAAUUAAAAAGCGUGUUACUCUUUUUGGUUUCCAGAUUUUCCUAUUUAUAACUGUAUAGAGCACUGGCCUGUAUGUUAAUAAUCUGCCACAAUCUGUUUGAAUGUCGCAUACUGAGGAUCACAGGUUGGAACUCUUUUUCUGGAGAAAAGAAAAUGCUGUUCUUGCCUUAGGAAGUUUCUGUCCCAAAUGUCAAGAAUAUGGAUUAGCUUUUCUUUGGUGGGGAAUGACAUAGUAAAAUGUUGCUUUGUGCAGGAGACCGUUUCUAUGGGUGGCACAACACUCUGAAAUUAGCUUCCUUGGGAAAUAAGGUCUAUCUGUCACAUGAACUGCCAUUGUCCUCAUUUUCUAUGGUAUAAACACAGAGCAACAUGAAUAAAGGGGA